CCUGACGGAGCAAGACCGCGUGGGGGAGGAAAGCCUUUGGGUUGUAAACCCCUUUUCUCAGGGAAGAAGAAAGUGACGGUACCUGAGGAAUCAGCCUCGGCUAACUCCGUGCCAGCAGCCGCGGUAAUACGGAGGAGGCAAGCGUUAUCCGGAAUGAUUGGGCGUAAAGCGUUCGUAGGUGGCAAUUCAAGUCUGCUGUCAAAGACAGUAGCUCAACUACUGCAAGGCAGUGGAAACUGAAUAGCUAGAGUGCGGUAGGGGCAGAGGGAAUUCCCGGUGUAGCGGUGAAAUGCGUAGAGAUCGGGAAGAACACCGGUGGCGAAAGCGCUCUGCUGGGCCGCAACUGACACUGAGGGACGAAAGCUAGGGGAGCGAAUGGGAUUAGAUACCCCAGUAGUC
rnacentral:rRNA from 1 species